UCCUUUUAACAACCCCCAAGACACUGGUAGAAUCUUGAUCUCUUAGUGCUCCACAGAGCCCAAUGGGGUGGAGGCCUUAGGGGGUGGCCGCUGAGAGACAUUCCUCAGCCCCAAGACAUACCUCCUUACCCUCACAGGAGACAAGUGGAGUUGGGAGACAUCAAUCCUCACAGCAGAGAGUCAUCUGUUCAGGAAAACUUCCAGAGGUAAGGGGGAUUCAAUGGAAGGCUGGAUGCAGCAUUACUUCCCGAAUCCCGGGCAGUGGUGAGAUAUCACCCCGACCCCUGGUCUGUCUGGUUUGGUUCUGUGUGGCCACGAGUCAUUGUUUUUGUUCUGUGCAUCUGUUUUUGUGUUCUACAUUUAACAUCUUUGGACCACCCCACGUGACCGGAAGUCAGUUGGAACUGCACCAUGGGACAAUCUUCAUCUGCCUCCAGCCCCUUGAUAUGUAUGCUAACUAACUUUUCUUCAUUCCAACAAAAGGCUUCAGACCUGGGGGCCUCCUGUGAUGCCUUUACAUUAAGAAAAUUCUGUGAAUUAGAUUGGCCUUCAUUUGAUGUGGGAUGACCUGCUGAGGGGACCUUUGACUUGCCUACAGCCUACCGGGUAGAACAGGUAGUCAUGGGAUGGCCUGGCCAUCCUGACCAGAUUCCCUACAUUCUGAUCGGGAUUGAAGUCUUAUCUGAAAAGCCUUCCUGGCUACAAAAGUACAUAAAAAGAGGCACAGGCUGCUCAAAUGUUCUCCUUUCUGCUAAGGCCCCCCAAACAAUCAUUAUCUGCACAUCCAGAAAGUAAAAAGUCUGUCCUACAGGAUGCCUCACUGGACAACAAUUCUCUCUCACCUCCCCCUUACCCGCCCACCAACUUACAGGACUCAAGCCAAGUCUUCAGUCCACCACACACCAGGAGCAGAUCUUCAUAUCAGCCCCUGGAGCCAGGACCCUUGGCAUUAGGCUCCUCAUCUGGUCCCUCAGCCCCUAUUCCCCCUUUAUGACAAACUCCCAGAGAUGGGGCCCCUUUCAUGAUCUAUGUGCCCUUUUCAACCACUGAUCUCUAUAACUGGAAGCAACAAAACCCUUCUUUUUCUGACAAGCCCCAGGGACUAAUCUCUCUUCUUGAGACCAUGUUUUUCAUCCAUCAGCCUACCCAGGAUGAUUGCCAACAGAUCUUACAGACUCUCUUCACAGCUGAAGAAUGUGACUGAAUUCAGCAGGAAGCCAGAAAACAUGUCCUGGGCCCUGAUGGGACUCCCACCAGAAAUCAGGACCUUCUGGAAACUGUUUUUCCCUUGGUCCAAAUUCCCAGGCAGACAACGCAAGGAGCCCAUUUUGACUGCCUAGAAACCCUUGAAAACACCGGAGCCUUUGACUGGACCUGACUGAUGUUCCCUGGGGAGAGCCAGAUGAGUCUCUCCAGGCUUUUCAACAGACUCUCAAACAAAUUCACUCAGCCGUUCAACAGGCCCAAGGAACGGAGACAUCUGACAGUCCCCUUGGGACUCGUUACGAGCCGGGAGACCUAGUUGGGUAAAAAGAUACCAACCUGACAGCCUCAAGCCCCUCUGGCAAGGUCCCUACACUGUGAUCGUGUCCACUCCCACAGCUGUCAAGGUAGCUGAAAAAUGCCCAUGGAUUCAUCAUACUUAGCUCAAGAGAGCCUUCACGGAAAACUCUGACCAGUGUUGGACAGUUGUCAGACCUGAGGCUAAUCAGGACUCCCUCAAGAUAAGACUUAAAUGAGUUCCUAAUUAAUUGUCCUUUUCUGUUCCUCAAAGAUGUUAUUCCUGUAUCUGUUUUUAAUGAACCUG